rnacentral:tRNA from 1 species
GGGGAUCUAGCUCAGUGGUAGAGUGCUUGCCUCACAUGCAUAUAGGCCCUGGGUUCAAUCCCCAGCACCACA